UGAAGGUGAACCACUGUCACAACGUGACUGAGUCCAGUCUGGACCCCCUGCGGAAGAGGAACGUUGAGAUUGACGUGGAGCCACCACUACAGAGGGCCCUUGUGCUGCUGCAGGAUGUGGUGGGGUUCGCUCCCUUCAUCAACCUCCAGAUCUAGGCUAAAGUACAUCUGUAUUACUCAUCCAACCAACUGGAAACAGGUUUUCCUCCACUAGGAGAAUGACCUGUUUCAAUUGAAACACACCCUGUGUGCUGGGACGUCAAUUAAGCAAUUCAAGGACAAACAAAAACGGAUGUAUAUGGGAAAUAUAUUGUAGAACUUGUCUCUUAUUUAUUACAGUGAUGUUGCAGAUUAUAAUUAUGCACUUAGGAAAAGACUGAAGGAAGCCAUGCACUUUUCAGUAACGCUGUCAUGAGUCCAAAAGAUUCCUGCAGUAUUUAUUUGUAUUUCAUCACACCCUAACAACACUUUAGAUGUUCUUGUGAUCUAUAGCUUUAGAAAAGGACCAUUCCAACCAAAG